AAAGACGAGCGAAAACCAUGGCGGCGAUCGCGCACUCCAUCGGUGGCCCCGAGAGCGCACAAGCGCGAUCAGCGCUGACAGAGGACGGUGGCGCCGGUCGGGAGCCACGUCUUCCGUGGUGGUCAGGAUCUUAAGCAAGCCGUCACCGCCGCCGCUGCCGAGGACCUCAACAGAAGUUUGUCGACGCCGCAGACUCUUCUUUCCAGACCAUGGUUGAUUGAAGGUGUGAUUUCUGCCUCGACAAUCGUUUGACAUCUCUAAUUUAAUCUCUGCAAAACAAGGAUUCAAAUGGGUUAUAAGAAUUGGGGUACCACUGUGUUGAAUUUGAAUUUUAGGUUUAUCGAGUUGAUUGUCCCGAGGAUGGGACGUCAGGAUUCUUAGCUAUCUUAGAUGAUAAGCGCAUUUGAUUGCUAGAGACUGAUAGGUAUACUAUUAAUUUAGGCCUAACUCUUUUGUCGUCGCAUGGAAUGAAUGUGUCGUGAAGUUUUUCUGGUUCAAAAGCAAGUGUUUUUUGUCUCAUUCUAUUUGUAUUUCGUGUUCCUCAUCAUGAUAUUGCUGUUGAGAACAUAGAGUUGCAUGUCUGUAUGUUGAUGGAAUGGAGAACAAUCUGUAUGAAGUUUUUCUGGUUCAAAAGUAAGUUUUUUUAUCUCAUUCUAUUUGUAUUUGGUGUUCCUCAUUAUGAUAUUACUGUUGAGAACAUAGAGUUGCAUGUCUGUAUGCUGAUGGAAUGGAGAACAAUCUGUAUGAAGCUUUUUCUGGUUCAAAAGUAAGCUUUUUUAUCUCAUUCUAUUUGUAUUUGGCGUUCCUCAUUAUGAUAUUACUGUUGAGAACAUAAGAGUUGCAUGUCUGUAUGUUGAUGGAAUGGAGAACAAUCUGUAUGAAGCUUUUCUGGUUCAAAAGUAAGCUUUUUUUCCUCAUUCUAUUUGUAUUUGGUGUUCCUCAUUAUGAUAUUACUGUUGAGAACAUAGAGUUGCAUGUCUGUUUGUUGAUUGAAUGGAGAACAAUCUGUACCUAUCUCUCUUUCUACUUCCAUUUGUCUUUACAUUUACAGAGAAUAUCAAUCCGAUCUUACUUUGACUAGUUUGACUUAGAGUUGAAUGCUUAAAAGAAAAUAUAAUUCUUCCAAUAGAUGCCUCUUAAAAGUAGCUUGCAUUGGUUUGGUAUUGUUUGUAUUUCAGCAAGAGCCAAUUUGUAGCUCCUCAUGAAAUCUGAGAUAAGUGCCACUGAUAUAUAAAGUGGAUGAUUGUUUACAUCAAACUUAAUGGCACAAGAAAUGUUCUACAACUAUCGAAUAAAACUUUGUGAUGUGAAAGCUGUACAAAAUUUCUUUUUGAAUUUGAAGUCUCCCUCCACCAUCUUUUUCAUGCUUUAGGUUAUAGCUGAGCAUUAUUCUUGUAGUGAUGACACCAUUUUGUCAUGCUCAUGAUAAUAUUCAUCUUAUUAAGUUGAGGUUUGGCUGCAUGCACUAUCUACUCUGUUUGCUUGUUCUGUAUUGAUAAUUUGUGUUUCCUGUUUACAUGUAUUAAACUCUAUUAUCAUCUUUCACAAUUGUCACUGGAGAUAACUUUCAUAAUUGAAGUAAUAUAUGACCCAAAACUGUUGGUGCUGAGAUGAGUAGAUAAACAUGGCAAGUUUAUGGUGGCAACCAUGAGGACCAUUACCUUACCUAGCAGAAGUUAGAAGAAUCUACUGGAUCCUUCAACUUUGCACAAUGAUUAAAUAUGAUUACCUCACUCCUACCUGAAUGUGCCCACAUUUGUGUCUGCAG
rnacentral:lncRNA from 1 species